UGUUAUAAUAACCCUUUGAUCUGAUGCGAG
rnacentral:piRNA from 1 species